CACAUAUAUAAUCAGGAUGACUUACAGGCUGCAGUCCAACAAUGGCUGGCUGUGAAUAGAAAGUCCAAGCAUCCAGUAGUUGCUUACUCCCACGAGGCUGGGUGUCCCAGCUGGUCUGUAUCUGCUGAAACCCGGAAGGAGGAGGCUCUAAUUCGGGUGAAGGAAUGGAAGUGCUGACAAGGGCAUCAAGGCUGCCGGGAGAUGAAGCCCACUUAUCCCACAUGCUGCCCAGAGUAAAACACAUACAAUUGGUGAUUGGUGUGUCAUCUCCUAAUGCACUCACUGAAGUACGCAUACCUUCACGGGGGGAACCUGCAUUAAGUUAUUACCAAAUGAGCCUUCAUCUAGUAGCUGAUGGAAGCAGAAGCAGACACCCACAGCUAAGCUCUGAGCUGAACUCCUGGAAUCCAGAUGUAGAGAGGGAGGAGGAAUGCUGAGCAAAGGGGUCAAGACCUGGCUGGAGAAACCCACAGAAACAGCUGACCUUAACAAGGGGGAGCUCGUGGACCCCAGACUGAUAUCUGGGAAACCAGCAUAGGACCGAUCCCGGCCCCUUGAACGUGGGUGUCAGCGAGGAUCCCUGGGCAGUCUAUGAGGCCCCUGGUAGUGGAUCAGUAUUUAUCCCUAGUAUAAGAAUGGACUUUGGGAGCCCAUUCCACAUAGAGGGAUACUGUCUCAGCCUAGAUACACGGGGGAGGGCCUAGGCGCUGCUCCAAAUGAAAUGACAGACUUUGAAGAUUCCCCCAUGGAAGGCCUCACUCUCC
rnacentral:lncRNA from 1 species